UAUUGACUUAAAACUUGUUAUUAUCCAGCCCUCGUUUUACCAGAGUCGAGAGAGAGAGAGAGAGAGAGAUAGAGAGAGAGAUGACGACGAUACGCAGAUUUUGCUGCAACGAUCUCCUUCGCUUCACUUCUGUCAAUCUUGACCACCUCACUGAAACUUUCAACAUGUCCUUCUACAUGACCUAUUUAGCAAGAUGGCCUGACUACUUCCAUGUUGCAGAAGGCCCUGGUAACCGAAUCAUGGGUUACAUUAUGGGAAAAGUUGAAGGACAAGGUGAGUCCUGGCAUGGUCAUGUGACUGCAGUAACUGUUGCUCCAGAGUACCGCCGGCAGCAAUUAGCCAAGAAACUGAUGAACCUGCUGGAAGAUAUAAGUGACAAGAUUGAUAAAGCUUACUUUGUGGAUCUUUUUGUGAGAGCUUCAAACACACCAGCCAUUAAGAUGUAUGAAAAGCUUGGUUACGUAAUCUAUAGGCGGGUACUGCGUUAUUACUCGGGGGAAGAAGAUGGAUUAGAUAUGAGGAAAGCAUUAUCUCGAGAUAUUGAAAAGAAGUCCGUAAUCCCGCUUAAACGGGCAGUUACGCCUGAUGAAUUGGAGUAUGAUUAGCUAUGCUUUUUGAUGAUAUUUAGGCACAAGAAGUUGGCAUCAAUGUAUUUCGACGUACGUCUCUUGGUUUGAAGGCUGAUGAUUCUCCUCCAUAUUUAUGAUCAUCAUAGCAGUUGGUAGCACACAACAUGCCUGCCAAUAUAAGCAAUGCAUGAUUCACAAAUUCUUCUCAGUUGGUGGCUUUGAUGGUUUUGGUCGGCCUCCACAUGAUUAUCGGAUCCUAUGUGCUUUAUAUUAUCAAUGGUGAAACAUAUCAUCUUUUGUAUUUGAAAACUUUUUUUUUUUUUUUUCUUCGCUUUAUAUUAUAACUUACCUCCAUUCUUUAGGUAAUUACUCUAGCUAUGUGCCUCUACUAUUUACGUAUCAGAAAAAAAAAAAAAAA